rnacentral:misc_RNA from 1 species
CAGCAAUAAACACAGCAAUGGCUGCUCUCACAAAAACUGUGGGUGUGUUUCCCAAGGAACGUGCAAUUGUGGACAGAGAGCGUGCAAAGGGAUCUUAUGCAUUAGGACCAUAUCUGCUUUCUAAAUUGAUAGCUGAGAUUCCUGUUGGAGCUGCAUUUCCAUUAAUGUUUGGUGCUUUAUUGUAUCCCAUGGCACGUCUCCAUCCCACUUUGUCCAGGUUUGGAAAGUUCUGUGGAAUUGUGACAGCAGAAUCAUUUGCUGCAUCUGCUAUGGGUCUAACUGUGGGAGCUAUGGUUCCAACCACUGAAGCAGCAAUGGCACUAGGACCAUCUCUUAUGACAGUUUUUAUUGUAUUUGGGGGGUAUUAUGUUAAUGCAGAUAAUACACCAAUCAUCUUCCGCUGGAUACCUGAUGUUUCUCUGAUAAGAUGGGCCUUUCAAGGGCUUUGCAUCAAUGAAUUUACUGGACUCAAGUUCGAUCGCCAACAUUCAUUUGAUGUUGAAAACGGUGAACAGGCACUCGAGCGACUCUCCUUUGGAGGAAGCCACAUUAAUGAUACGGUGAUAGCUCAAAGUAGAAUUUUGUUAUUUUGGUACUGCACUACUUACCUUCUCCUUGAAAAAAACAAGCCCAAAUACCAAAGGCUUGAGCCACCACCUCUUGAACAAAUCCAACAACAGCUACAGGUUGAGCCCUUGGAACCUGACCAAGUCAAACAACUUAAUCAUUCACUGAAGCAAGAUGAAUCAAACCAGCAGCUUGAAAUCCGACCAUUUAUCUUGGAAGGUGCUAAGUAAAGGAGAUCAUUUCUUUUGCAAUAAAGGAGGUUCUCAUGCCUUUUCUAGCUGCUAUUGUAGAACUUGACAACAAUAAGUUGAUUUACGUAUAUCUCAAACUC